UGCUAAUGCACACACAGCACUGCACAUCCUCCUUGGCUCUCGGCACAGGACUCGCUCGGUGUCAGCACAGAUCCCUACGGAGGCCCAAGCAGGAGGAGCACCAGCCGUGGUACUCACAGACCGCUGGCCACACGCAGGCAAAAUGCUGCCGAAGUUCUCAGGUUUGCCCGGAGGCUCUGCGGCAGAAGAUGACGACCCAACCGUCAGCCAAGGGAAGGGCAAUGACGUCCCUUACUCGCAUCCGCUUUGAUUUAAUCGAUAAGCGCGGCGCCCGAGGAAGGUACAGCUUUGCACCACGUCGGCAGCGUCACGGAGCCGAGCGCAGAGCGAUGCAGCUGUUUCCAAAGUGUCACAGAGGACUUUCAGCAGCCAGCGAGUGCAAACAGGACUGCAUUGGAAAAAGAGGUGGAAAAGGCUGAGUCUGGAAAGAUCAGCCAAUUUUCUGCAGUAACUCACAGUAUCGAAGAAAAAGCUUGUUUCUCCUUUCUGCUAAUGGUCAGAAUGCUUGGAGCUGACAAGUAAGAGCUGUGCAAGGAAGCCCAGUAACAGCUGGGAACCUGAAGCCACCGUUUUCUUCAGUAGAGCACUACUGGAAGUAGUUGAAAGACUGUCUUUUGUAAUAAUGGUAUGUAACAUUUUAAACAUUAACAUGUAUGAAACUUAAAAUUUU